rnacentral:rRNA from 1 species
AGAGUUUGAUCCUGGCUCAGGAUGAACGCUGGCGGCGUGCUUAACACAUGCAAGUCGAACGAUGAUCCCAGCUUGCUGGGGGAUUAGUGGCGAACGGGUGAGUAACACGUGAGUAACCUGCCCUUAACUCUGGGAUAAGCCUGGGAAACUGGGUCUAAUACCGGAUAUGACUCCUCAUCGCAUGGUGGGGGGUGGAAAGCUUUAUUGUGGUUUUGGAUGGACUCGCGGCCUAUCAGCUUGUUGGUGAGGUAAUGGCUCACCAAGGCGACGACGGGUAGCCGGCCUGAGAGGGUGACCGGCCACACUGGGACUGAGACACGGCCCAGACUCCUACGGGAGGCAGCAGUGGGGAAUAUUGCACAAUGGGCGAAAGCCUGAUGCAGCGACGCCGCGUGAGGGAUGACGGCCUUCGGGUUGUAAACCUCUUUCAGUAGGGAAGAAGCGAAAGUGACGGUACCUGCAGAAGAAGCGCCGGCUAACUACGUGCCAGCAGCCGCGGUAAUACGUAGGGCGCAAGCGUUAUCCGGAAUUAUUGGGCGUAAAGAGCUCGUAGGCGGUUUGUCGCGUCUGCCGUGAAAGUCCGGGGCUCAACUCCGGAUCUGCGGUGGGUACGGGCAGACUAGAGUGAUGUAGGGGAGACUGGAAUUCCUGGUGUAGCGGUGAAAUGCGCAGAUAUCAGGAGGAACACCGAUGGCGAAGGCAGGUCUCUGGGCAUUAACUGACGCUGAGGAGCGAAAGCAUGGGGGAGCGAACAGGAUUAGAUACCCUGGUAGUCCAUGCCGUAAACGUUGGGCACUAGG